ACAUGCACAUGGCCUGAUUCCCUGCCUGCUCCAGAUCCGUGGCACUAUCUCCCAACACUCACAGGCACACCUGUCCUCCACUGAGACUCCAGCUGCCCCCACAAGAGUCAUGACAACGGCCACAGAAGCACAGUGGGUGAUUGCAGGUUACAGACAGAAGAUGGAAGACAUGAGAUCUCACUGCGGCCUCGCAGCCCCGCCCCCAUCUCAGUGGAGUGCCUUUUGUUUUGCGCUAUGACAACUUCAAGUCUGAUCAACCAGUCCUGGCUGCCUGGACUAAUCCAGACUCACCAGGACAGUAGCGAUGCCUGCCACAGGGAAGCAAUCUGAAACCUCAUGAGAUUCAGUACUUUGCUGAUUGUCACAUAUGAUGAUGCUGGAUUAUUGAACUAAGUAUAUCACUAAAAUUACAUGGUGAGACGAGGAGGCAGAAAUAGCUCAAGAAAACCACGAGGAAGAAGGAUGGCUCCAGUAGGGUGUGGGUGGGAGCCACUGGGAGAAGAGGCUAUACAAGGGAGACAGAGACCAGACUCAGAGAGUCCUGAUGAUGACUGACUCAAGGGAGAUCAAACGAGCAACUACGAAGUGAUCUCUGAGUGGGUCACAAGUGCAGGGCACCCGCUGAUCAGAAGCAAGCUCUGGACGGAAUCAUUAUGAGUUUCUUACAUGUGAGGGUGUGGUUUUUAUCACUCAGGAAGAGAUAAAAUAUUCUAACCCAGUGCCUACCAAAGACAGCUACAUGGGACAGGCUGAUCGAGAGAAAGCAGGGAGCGACAACAGUCAUGUAAGAGAAGGGGAGGGUUUGGAGUGACUGGAAGCAAAGAGACACAGCAGAGGGCUGAAUGAUUGGAACUGAAUGAUGAAGAGUCAACCAGAAAGAUUGGGGUUGGAACCUGACAGGCUGGAUAAUGAGGAGGUGGUAGGCCCCUCUGAGAGAGGAAUGGGAGGGGCGAUCUGAGGGGUGGGAGGAGAUUUGCAUCUGACGGUGAGAUUUUUUAAAGUUGGUGUUUUGAGAGAAUUCUAGACUGGCCUGGAACUAGAUAUAUAGCUGAGGAUGACUUUGAACUCCUCAUCCUCCUGCCUCUACCUCUCAGGCACUGAGAUGUCAGGCCGGAGCUACCCCAUCCAGACACAUUGUGGUAAACCCGAAGUCCCAAUGGUGUGAGAUGUUCAGCAGGCAGCAAUACCUGGGUCUGAAAUCAUGAACCGACUUCUAGGAUAAAGAUUUGUGACUCAGCAGCACAUGGACGAGUGACUGAGUCCUAGGCAUGAUUGAUCAGGUUGCCAAUGGUGAGGUGAGCUUAUAGUCAGAGACAGCAGGUAAAGGACUAACUAGGUCUUCUUCCAAAUUACCCAAAGAUGGGGAAAAGUUAGAGCCAUCAGAUUAUCCCCCAUGUAAAUUGUCACCUAUUCUAAUUUAAGUAAUUCGCUCUUAACUGAACUUUUAAUUUAGAUGGGGGGUGGUGUGUUUAACUAAUGGGGAGCACAUCAGUCAGUAACAAUGAGGUAGCAUUGUUCUCUGACUGGGGCUCUUCUUGCCCAAACAAAUGUUGGCUGAAGUUGACUGUUUCUCUCUUUUUGUGUGUGUGUGUUUCUCUCUCUCUCUUUUUUUUUUCAUUGUGAAAUAUACACAACAUAAAAUCACCAUUUUAGUCAGUUUAAAGAACGUAGAUCAGGACUGUUAAGAACUGUCCCUGGCAGGCACUGGUGGCAAACACCUUUAGUCCCAGCGCUCUGGGAAGCAGAGGCAGGAGCAUCUCUGUAGCCUCGUCUACAGAGCAAGUUCCAGGACAGCCAGGGCCACACAGAAAAACCCUGUCUUGAAAAAAAAAACAACCAACCAACCAUGCAACCAACCAAACAAACAAAAAGAAUAAGUCCCCGUUCAGCCAUCACUACCAUCUUCUCCAAAAACUGUUUUUUUUUGUUUUUUGUUUUUUUUUUACUUUGUGAUAUUAAAACCCUGUGGCCAUUAAAUAACUCCUUGCUCUCCUCUUCCUCCAGACCAUAGAGGCCACCAUUUCCAUUUCUGACAAUUCAAUGGAGUCAUAUGACUUUUGUCAUCUUUAUGUCUGACUGACUGUGUUAAAGACUAUCUAUGGUGUAACAUGUCUUAACCACUUCAGGCUUCGCUGACAAAAUGCCAUAAAUAUCAGACGAACAAGAGUUUUUUUUUUUUUUUUCCUCAUAGUUCUGGGGGCUGUGUGAGACUGAGAACAAGAUGCUGACAGAUGUGAUGUCUGGGGAGGCCCCACUUUCUGGUUCCUCGACAGUGCCGUCUGUGUGUGCUCACAGGAGGGAGGGGUGAAGGGCUCCCUUAGGCUUUUAUGAAAUCACUGGUCUCACUCACCAGGCCUCUGUUCUCAUGAUGAAUCCCUCCCAACUGCUCAGACUUCUAGUGCUAUCACACUGGGGGUUAAAAUUUCAGUUUGUGGAUUUUCAAAGGCCAUAUGCAUUCAAGCCAUAGGACCUGGCGAGUCCAAAUUUCUUUCCUAAGACCAAAUGGUAUUUUAGUGCACACAUAUUCCAUUUUACUUACCCUUCCGCAUUUUGACUAUUAUGAGCAAUGCUGCUAUUUUACAAAUAUUACAGUACAUAGCACAGGCUAGCACUGGCUCUAAGGCUGUGUUCCCAGAACAACACAGCUGAUAUCAAAGGGAAAUUAAGGGACACUCAGAGAGGAUGAGAAGGGUUUCCCAGCCUCAGCCAAGUCCCAGGCCAGCUGUCGGUAGACACAGCUGUGCUUCGGUAUCUCAGGCAGUUUAGCUGUAAGACAUCCCAACGCUAGCGCUGCUUUCCUUAGCUGAAUGAGUUCAAUUCUGGCUCCCACCACUUUUAACUUAAAUAUUCUUGACUAAUGUAUGUUAUAUUAAUUAUGAAGGACAUAUUGUCCACAUAGACCACACACACACACACACACACACACACUGUUGGAUUGUAUUCCUGAGUGGUCUACGAUCAUGAUAUUAAUGUAAGAGGGAAAUUCUAUUGAGUUAUAUAAAGUGUUAAGGAAAAAAAGGCUUGCUGUGUGUCACAUAUACAUAUAUAUGACAUAUAUAUACGUAUAUAUGACAGACAUUAUGAGACAUAUAUAUAUAUAUAUAUAUAUGUAUAUUUUUGACCUAACAUGAUAUGAAGAAAUCCAUAGGUACUAAGUUUCAAUUAGGAACAAGUAAUACCAGCACUUGGGAGGCUGGUGGAUCUCUGUGAGUUUGAGGACAGCCUGGUUUACAGAGUGAGCUCCAGGACAGCCAAGGCUACACAAAGAAACCCUGUCUCAACCCCUCCCCCCAAUGCCUAAGAAAUGGCAAGGGUGGACUGGGAGUAUUGCUUAGUUUGUGGAGUGACUGUUUGCCAUCUACGGGAGCCCUGGCUUUGACCCUCAGCACAGCAUAGAACUGAAUGUGGCGGAGUAGUCCUGUAAUUUCAGCAAUGAAGAGGUGGAGGCUGGAAGAUCAGCUGCUCAAGGUCAUCCAUGGCUACAUAAAAACAGUGGAAAAACAAGGUAAAUGUUUGCGGAGAUAGAUACGCAGACAUUUACUGUGUCUUAAAUAUUACAUGGUUUAUGUAUGUACAGAAAGAGAGCAUGGUUCUUCAAAUUUAUAUCCAGUGUUUAUGUUCUUAUAUAACAUUUGGAAACAUGUCAGGAUAAACUAAUUUUAAAUUUUAAAAAAGGAAGCAGAACUCCCAAAUAGUCAAUAUUUUCAAUUCCAAUUACAAGAAGAAGCUGGCAAAACUAGCUAGGUCAAUUACAGCGCGAUAUUUAAAGAGAUGUGUGGCAGGUUCACAGCCCUCAGCCAGUCAACGCACAUUCUGAUCCAGGACCAGACAGUUUCAUAGAUGAUCAAACAUAAAAAAAAAUUAUAUUAGUUUGAGGUGUGCUGAGACCACUAAGUGGGAAAGAGUGCUUGUCACACAAACCUGCUGACCUGUGUUUGAUUCCUGCCUUCCAAAGUGGAAGAAGAGAACUGAUUCCAACAUUGUCCUCUGAUCUCCACACAUGCACUCACUACACACACACACACACACACACACACACACACACACACACACACCACUAAUAUUAAAUUUAAAAAAAUUAUAUUUAAUAAGUGACUCUUUCAGCGCUUUGGUAGCUGAUGAAUCAAACAAGAGCAGUGCUUGUUUCCAGCUUUGAAUUUUAAGAUGUACUUAUCAGUCACUGAGUGCUACCAGAAUUCCUCGCAAGAGCCUCAGAGUGGAAAUAUAAACACACUUUCCCUCUGUGUUUAGAAGUGGAAGCAAUGCCACACCGUUUAUCACCAGAGAAGAAUGAUGAAUGCUUCAGAACCAUUUGGCAUACAGUAGAAGAUUUUUUUCUUUCCCUAAAAACAUAAUCUCUAAAAGCCGCAUAAGAAAGAACGUCUUUGGAGAAGAAAAUAAAAUAAACAUCAUGAAAAUGUGGGUAUCGCCCCUAUUUUCUCAGGACAGCAUACGUGCAUCACUAUGGUUUUCUAACUGUAUUAUUACAUUUUAACAUAUAAUUUUUCCUAAAGCAAUUAUACUAAAUUAGAGUAAUCACUGCACUAUUUAGUACAGGCAGGAAGAGUAGGACACUCAAAUAAUUCUGUAGGGAUGUCACACAAAUGCAAUCCCAGAACUCAACAUUAACCUACAUCUGGGUAGCUCAGUUUCAUUGCUUUUUUUUUUUUUAAUGUAUUUAUCUUUAUUUUAUGUACAUUGGUGUUUUGCCUGCACGUAUGCCUGUGUGGGUACCAGAUCCCCUGGAACUAACAGUUAGAGACAGUUGUGAGCUGACAUGUGGGUGCUGGAAAUUGAACCCGGGUCCUCUGGAAGACCGGCCAGUGGUCUUAACCACGGAGUCAUUUCUCCAGCCCCCGGUUUCAUUGUUUAAUCAAUCUUGUCUGUCCUCUUACAUGACAUGGCCUUUGCUUUUGUGUGUGAUGUCGUGUGUGGUAUAUGCAUGUGUUCAUGAGUGCGUAUGUGAGAGAAUGGACACAUACACGCUGAUAUGCACGGAGGCUCCCCGCUGUCUUCCUCAGUCAUUCUCUCCCUUAUGUUUGGUCUCUCACUGACUUGGGUCUCAGCGAUUUGGCUGUGACAUGUUUAUGAUGAGCCUUGCAGCUGGGAGCUAUUUUGGAUUGCUUUGAUUUGGUCUGUCAAUGAGACAAGAAUGGCAGGUCCGUUUUCUACUUUGUCUUGCUAAGAACAUUCAGUGUUAUUGAAAAGGUCCAGGCACAAUUACUAAUUGUUAUGAAACAGAAAUGUAUGAUCAGGGCUUUUGCAUGUAAGCAUAAGGACCUGUUUAAUCCCCAGGACACACUUUAAAAAUGUCAAAUGUGGUGGCAUGAGAGUGUAAUCCCAGUAUGGAGGAAGAGAAGACAGAUAGACUCCUGGGGUUUGCUGGUCAGCCAGUAGGUCCUACUUGAUGAGUUUCAGGCCCAUAGAAAUGAUGUCUCAAAAACCAAAUAGGACAAUGCCUGAAAAAAUGACACCUGAACUUUUCUUUGACCUCCACCAACAUGCACCCACUCAAAAACGUGUCUGUACACACACACACACACACACACACACACACACACACA